rnacentral:piRNA from 1 species
UCACGUGGUGAGAGUGUGAGCAAGAGAGA